UUCGAGAGAAAGUUGAAAACAGGGGAGCCAUGGUCACUCUACAUCGUUUGUUGGUGAUGAGUAUGGGUUAAGUACCCCAACAAAGACCACACCCUUCUUUUUUUUGUUUUUUGGCGCAAGGAGGCACCUUUAGCGAGGACUCCCGUGACAAAAACAGAGAAAGCGGGAGACGUCAAUUCUUCUUGCCCCCCUUUUUCCUGGGCGCACAACGUAAAUACAAUGGCGAUCAACAAAGGGAAGCAAACCCGCAAGGGGGAGCAAGUCCCCAAAAGUCGUCCCAGUUCGGAUCGUGGGCUGCAACCCGCCCACGUGAAGUCGGAAUUGCUAGUAAUUGCGGGAUCAGCAUGCCGCGGUGAAUACGUUCCCGGGCCUUGUACACACCGCCCGUCACACCAUGAGAGUCGGGAACACCCGAAGUCCGUAGUCUAACCGCAAGGGGGGCGCGGCCGAAGGUGGGCUGAUAAUGGGGUGAAGUCGUAACAAGGUAACCUA
rnacentral:rRNA from 1 species